UAAGAGAAUAGCUAUAACCGACUCUUAACCUCCUAUAAAUAGGAGUGCUUUUCAUUCAUUUGAAAGAGGAAAACAGACGGAAGAAGGGAAAAAUAAUUCGAGAGAAAGAGACCAGGAUAGAGAGAGAGAGAGUUGUUUUUCUGUGGUUUCUGUUGAGAGUGAGAGAGCGAUCGAUUGAGUGAGGGAGGGAGGACUGUGGAGUCAGUAGCUUUCUUUGUGUGGGAUUUUAUCAAGGUGGUGAACUCUUGUAAUAGACACUUGGAACAAAUACUUUGGAGUCCAGGUAGGGGAAAUACGGCAAACCUUUAUGGAGAUUGGCUUUAUUAAAUUUCGUGAAGUGUGAUAUUAUCAUUAUCGAUCUUAUUGCUUGAUUAAUGUGAUUUGAUGCUCAUUGAAUAAAUGUUUAUCUUGGGUGUUUACUUAUUAUUUGUUAUGGAAUUAUUGGUGAAAUGCUAUUUGCUGAGAAUAUGUUGUGGUACAUGUGAAUGAUGAAAUAAGAUUAUUUGUGCAUCACUCAUGUGUGAGAUUAGUUGGAAGUUUGGUAUUGAGGAAGAAGUUCUAGAAAUGAGGGUAGUUGGAAAUAUCCUUUGUGUAGUUGAGCCAAACUCUUAGUAGGUACCAAGUCUCAGGCGAGCCCACAGUGCACAUUUUCUUUGAGGGUAAUUCGGGAUUGGCAACGAAGGGUUUUGGCAAGAUGACUAACAAAAGGGGAAAUUGUGAUGAUUGAGUUACAAGGGUUAAUUUGUAUAUUAAAACAUUCUAACUACCAUUGCAGAGGUAAAUGCACGGUAUGGGACGUGCAGGUCCGCGUGUUUUAUUAUAUGAAUUAACGGGUAGAGAUGAAGAGUAUUGCAUUGCACUCAUGCAUUAUUAUUGAUAAUGAUUUGGUGCUUGAUUACAAGAUUUUAUAACACGUAAUUUAGUAUUGUCAAUUAUUAUGAUAAGGUUAUGUCCCUACUGAGCUUUGGUAAAGCUCACCCCUCUCUUGUUAUGCAGGUUUACGAACUAAACAGUUUAAGAGGGUAGACAGGAUGAGAUCGGAUUAAGUGUGAGGAUAGGAUUUUGUAUUUAUUUAUUUUAGUCUUGUAAAGAAUUCUGGAUUUCUUUUUAUAAGAGGAAUUUUAUUUUUCACUCCAUUA